rnacentral:lncRNA from 1 species
CUCUGAUACUAAUGGGCUAUGUGACCCUGGGCAAGGCCCAGCACCCUUCCAACACAGCUUCUCAGCUUCAACCAAGAACCUGAAGGAACUCAAGUAGAUCUGAAGUGGCUGACUCCCCUUGAAGGCCCUGGGGUGAGGGGGUAAGAGAUGACACUGAAGUGGCGUAUCUUUUGCUACCAUGAGGACUGCCCCACGCAGAAGUGCUUCUGAGAUAACAGCCUCAAGAGCAGCAGGUUUUGGACAAGGGUCAUGAUUAUCUUUUAUCUGACAGCACCAAGCAGAGUACAGAACACACAGUAGGCUCCACCCAGCUGAGAUCCCUCUGAAACUGUGAUAUACGACAUCACUGCCUCAGGACCUGUCCAACUGUCAGACAGCAGGAAGCUGCCCCACUCGUGAACAUCUAUUCGACUCUCCAAGUCCGGGGAGUCUACCUGGCACACAGGAGGCGUGACUCACAUGUGGCUAUGGCAGAUCUCCUCCCUCCUCCCAAGGCUUACCAGGCAACCUUGGCCUAAAGCACAGAAUGUUCUCGGUAAACAUAAAGGACCCUAAAAAUAUUAACAGUGAUUGUUAUUGUUGUUAUUAAAUCUACAGUUUGGAGCAGUAACCACAAAAUUGGUGACUUCCACAAGUCCAAUUAUGACCACUACAAAGUGGACAAAAUAAAACUUUUCUCCUAGGAAUCUUAAUCUGUUUCUCCAAUAGUGAUUCUCAAAGGGGCAUGAUUUUGCACCUGGGGGAGAUUUAGCAAUGUCUGGAGACGUGUUUGGUUGUCACAAUGGGGGCUGGCAGGGGUCUUCCUGGCAUCUAGUGGGUAGAGGCCAGAGAUGCUGCUAAACAUUCUCCAGUGCGUGGGAUGGUCCCCACAACAAAGAAAUAUCCUACCCAAAACGUCAGGGUGCUGAGGUUGAGAAAUCCUAUCCUAUGGGAUUAUGG